rnacentral:tRNA from 1 species
UUCUUGUAGUUGAAUUAAUCAGCGGUGGCUUUUCAAGCCACAGGUCUUGGAGAGAGGCCAAGCAGGAACU